rnacentral:rRNA from 1 species
GGAGAAUGUUAUCACGGGAGACACACGGCGGGUGCUAACGUCCGUCGUGAAGAGGGAAACAACCCAGACCGCCAGCUAAGGUCCCAAAGUCAUGGUUAAGUGGGAAACGAUGUGGGAAGGCCCAGACAGCCAGGAUGUUGGCUUAGAAGCAGCCAUCAUUUAAAGAAAGCGUAAUAGCUCACUGGUCGAGUCGGCCUGCGCGGAAGAUGUAACGGGGCUAAACCAUGCACCGAAGCUGCGGCAGCGAACGUAUCACUUAAAGCGAUUCAGCGGGUUACGAUUGACGGAGCGAAGCGACGUCAAAGCGUAUACAAAGUCGAGUCGGUUUAAGGAUACGUUCGUUGGGUAGGGGAGCGUUCUGUAAGCCUGYGAAGGUGKSYYGUGAGGSWUGCUGGAGGUAUCAGAAGUGCGAAUGCUGACAUAAGUAACGAUAAAGCGGGUGAAAAGCCCGCUCGCCGGAAGACCAAGGGUUCCUGUCCAACGUUAAUCGGGGCAGGGUGAGUCGACCCCUAAGGCGAGGCCGAAAGGCGUAGUCGAUGGGAAACGGGUUAAUAUUCCCGUACUUGGUGUUACUGCGAAGGGGGGACGGAGAAGGCUAUGUUGGCCGGGCGACGGUUGUCCCGGUUUAAGCGUGUAGGGG